rnacentral:rRNA from 1 species
AUUGAACGCUGGCGGCAUGCCUUACACAUGCAAGUCGAACGGUAACAGGUCUUCGGAUGCUGACGAGUGGCGAACGGGUGAGUAAUACAUCGGAACGCGCCUAGUAGUGGGGGAUAACUACUCGAAAGAGUGGCUAAUACCGCAUGAGAUCUACGGAUGAAAGCAGGGGAUCGCAAGACCUUGUGCUACUAGAGCGGCCGAUGGCAGAUUAGGUAGGUGGUGGGAUAAAAGCUUACCAAGCCGACGAUCUGUAGCUGGUCUGAGAGGACGAUCAGCCACACUGGGCCUGAGCCACGGCCCAGACUCCUACGGGAGGCAGCAGUGGGAAAUUUUGGACAAUGGGCGAAAGCCUGAUCCAGCAAUGCCGCGUGCAGGAUGAAGGCCUUCGGGUUGUAAACUGCUUUUGUACGGAACGAAAAGCCCCGGGUUAAUACCCUGGGGUCAUGACGGUACCGUAAGAAUAAGCACCGGCUAACUACGUGCCAGCCGCCGCAGUAA